CUGUACGCUUACCGGGGUUGUCCGGCCUGGGUCAGGACUGCGCUGCGCCCCCACAUCCGGGUCCCUCUUCCGCUGACCCCCCCCCCCCACAUCCGGGUCCUGCCCCUCCCCCCGGGGGCCCCCGGACCCCGGCUCGGCACCCCGAGUUCUUGCACCCGGCGCCCAGACACUGCGACCCCGAGGGGCACUACUUGGAGUCCGAAGCACCGGCCCCUACCAGGCCUUAUCGGUCAGGUGACCCUGCAGCCUCGGUCUCUCCCGGCCUCAGUUUCCCCACCUGCUGCUUGAGAGAGUGGCGGUCUGGGUGCUGACGACUGUCCCGGCGUUUUGGAGCGGGUCCAGACUCGGGCGCCCUUUAGUGGGAUUCUCUGUACCUCAGACUCUCCUCACUUCUUGGUCACUCCCCCUGCGGAUCCAGGCCUCAGAUUUCCUUGGGGAAGGGUGAAGCUCUGAGCUGGCUUAUCAGGGACACAGAAGGGAACCAGCAGGCUCUCACAGAGACUUUGGAGUCUGAACCUGGUUUCCAGUCUUAAAGUUAACAGCUGUGUAACUUAGGGCAAGUCACACUUCCCUCUUCUGACCUCUGGUUUCCUCAUUAGUUGGGAAUAACACCGUCCGCUUCACAGGGCUGUUGUGAGGCUUAAACGAGAUGAUGUGUCUGAAGUGUUGCUUCAGGGCCAGGCACGCUUAGGAACUCCGUGCGUUUUAACUGCUCUCGUUGCUACUUGUUGACCACCUCUUCUUACCAGGCUCCUGACAUAGAGGUUCACUUAAGUUCUAGGCCGGGCCCUAGCUUCCACCUCUGGGGCCUCCCCUGCCAAGCCAGGUGGGCCCCAGGGAAGUGUGGGGGAUUCCCUAGAUGGUCCCUACUGGCCGCGAGACCAUGGAGCCUGUCAGGAGUCAGGAUAGGAUGUCCAGCUUUUUCCCCUGAUGACUGUGAUCCCUGGCGAGUCAUGUUUCUCUCCGUGCCUCAGUUUCCUUCCCUGUAAGGUGGGAAUUUAGACAGUCCUUUGGGCCAGCUGUAAUAUGGGCGGUGGUCCGCCCUCCCCUGCCCAGGACUUGUGGGAAGAUCUUGUGAGCACCUUAAUGCUCUAAACCAAGGCAAGCCUCACGGCAUGGGAGAGUGUCGUAGUUGUGAUUGCAGGAUGGCGGGGCGGGUGGGCUCUUUGCCUUCCUUCACGUCUUCCCAUCCUUUCU